AAUUUCAUCUAAAGCUAAAUAUUGGCCAGAGACCGAUAGCGCACAAGUAGAGUGAUCGAAAGAUGAAAAGCACUUUGAAAAGAGAGUUAAACAGUAUGUGAAAUUGUUGAAAGGGAAGCGCUUACAACCAGACUUGAGCGCGACGGUUCCCCCUUCCUUUUGGUUGGGCUACUCCGUCGUGUCCAGGCCAACAUCGGUUUUGGGGGUCGGUUAAAGGCGCCGGGAAUGUAUCUACCCUUCGGGCGUAGACUUAUAGCCCGGCGUGUCAUGCGACCUCCCGGGACCGAGGAACGCGCUUCGGCUCGGAUGUUGGCGUAAUGGUUGUCAGCGA
rnacentral:rRNA from 1 species